rnacentral:rRNA from 1 species
AUGGGUUUGCUGUCUCAUCUCAAGAGCCUCGUAUUUCUAUACCACCGCGCUGCCAGCACCUUCCUCCUGCGAAUUGUCACCACGUUGACACUCGCACCUGGCGUCCUCAAGAGAGUUGCACCAUGGCUACCUGCUUCACUUGAGACUAUGCCCCAACUCAGUGCCAUCUAUCCCAUCCAUCUACUCCUUGCCGUCGUUCUACCGAUCGUCGCGGCUACCAUCUACCUUGCACUCCGCCGUAGAACUGUAUACCUUGUUGACUAUGCUUGCUUCCGGCCGAGCUCCAACUUAAGAAUCCCAAAGGCAGCCUUCCUGGAGCAUGCACAUGUCUCGCCUUUGUUUGAUAAUUCUACUGUCAACUUCAUAGCUACUGUUCUUGAGCGCUCGGGCAUGAGCGAUGAGACACAUGUCCCGCAUGCACAUCACUAUAUAGAGCCACAUUGUGGGCUUGACGAAGGACGUGCCGAAGCAGAGUUGGUGGUCUUCUCUGUGAUGGAUGACCUUUUCGCCAAGACGUGCAUCAACCACGGCACAAUUGGUGCUCUUAUCACCAACUGUAGUACAUUUAGUCCGGUACCAUCUAUGGCUGACAUGAUUGUAAACAGGUACAAGUUACGAGGUGAUCUCCGUGUCAUUAACCUCUCUGGGAUGGCGUGUUCUGCAUCAGUGACCGCAGUGGGGCUCGCAAGCAACAUGUUGCAAGUGAUGCCUUGGGGGUCACAUGUGUUGGUGGUGUCGACGGAGACCAUUGGGCCAUUCUACUAUGCGGGGAAUAAGCGUUCUAUGCAGUUGGUUAACGUCUUGUUCCGCAUAGGCGGUGCUGCCAAAUUGUUAUCGACUUCUAAGUCAAAGGCCCGGUUUCGUCUUGGACAUUUCACGCGGACGAUCACUGCGGCAAACAACGCUGCUUACCGAUGUGUUUAUCAAGAGGAAGAUGACAAGGGCAACCUAGGGAUUGCUCUCUCUAAAGACCUUAUGGAUGUCGCUGGGAACGCACUCAAGGAAAAUAUCAUGACAACCGGGCCUCUUGUCCUACCCGCAUCAGAGCUUCUCAAGUUUUUGUUCUUCUAUGUGGCGAAAAAGGUGCUCCGUUGGUGGAAGAUUAGACCAUACAUCCCCAACUUUUGUGUUGCAUUUGAGCAUUUCUGCAUCCAUGUUGGCGGACCGGCGGUUAUCACCUCGGUACAACGUGGUCUUAAUCUAUCAGACAAGCAUGUUGAGCCAUCGAAGAUGACGCUGCAUCGAUUUGGAAACCAAUCGACAUCAUCGGUGUGGUAUGAGUUAUCAUACAUCGAGGCCAAAGGCCGGAUGAAGAAAGGCAAUAGGGUGUGGAUGAUCGGAUUCGGUGCAGGGUACGAGUGCAACACCGUUGGUUGGGUGUGUAUACAACCAUCUUCACGUAUGGAUGGACCCUGGGCUAGCUGCAUCCAUCGUUACCCAGUGGAUGUCUCCAAGAGUGGCUAA